rnacentral:rRNA from 1 species
UGGUGGAGCGAUUUGUCUGGUUAAUUCCAGUAACGAACGAGACUCUAGCCUGCUAAAUAGGCGUCGUCAUUUAGGUGUGCGUGGCUCCGUCACGCAACUCACUGGCGACGUAUUAAAAUUCUUCUUAGAGGGACCGGCGGCUUCGAGCCGCACGAGAUUGAGCAAUAACA